rnacentral:rRNA from 1 species
CAAUAGCGUAUAUUAAAGUUGUUGCAGUUAAAAAGCUCGUAGUUGGAUUUCCGUGAGAGUGCCGGUGUCGGCUGAUGCUUGUACGCAGGCGCUCUUACAUCCUUCUGUUAACUGUUCUUGGCAUUUUAUUGCUGGUUCAGGGCUCAGAUAUUUUACCUUGAGAAAAUUAGAGUGUUUCAGGCAGGCUUAUGCCGGAAUACAUUAGCAUGGAAUAAUGGAACAGGACCUGUGCGUCUCUCGGGGCGCCGGUCUCCGUUGUUGGUUUCGGGGACUAAUGUAAUGAUUAAUAGGGAUAGUUGGGGGCAUUAGUAUUUAAUAGUCAGAGGUGAAAUUCUCGGAUUUGUUAAAGACUAACUUAUGCGAAAGCAUUUGCCAAGGAUGUUUUCAUUAA